GUCUUUUUGAUUUAUAAUUUAAAGUCUAAUCUGCCCACUGAAAUAAAUUUUAAAGGGCUGCGGUAAUUUAACCGUACAAAGGUAGCAUAAUAAAUAGUUUUUUAAUUGAAGACUGGAAUGAAUGAUUGGACGAAAUAUAAGCUAUUUUAUUUAAAUAAAAAUAGAAUUUAAUUUUUAAGUUAAAAAGCUAAAAUAAUUUUAAAAGACGAGAAGACCCUAUAAAUCUUUAUAAUGAUUGAUUUAAUUUUAAUUAUUUAAUAUUUAUAAAUUUAUAUUAAAAAUUAUUUUAUUGGGGUGAUAUAAAAAUUUAAAUAACUUUUUAUUUAAUUUUAUUAUUAUGAAAAGAAAUGGAAUGAUCUAUAGAUUAUAAUUAUAAGAUUAAGAUACUUUAGGGAUAACAGCGUAAUUUUAAUUUUAAGUUCUUAUUAAAAUUAAAGAUUGC
rnacentral:rRNA from 1 species